GGCAUUCUUAGAGUCAGCCUGCCCAGUGAUAACAUUCAACGGCCGCAGUACCCUAACUGCGCGAAGGUAGCAUAAUCACUUGUUCUUUAAAUAGGGACUAGUAUCAACGGCAUCACGAGGGUUGCACUGUCUCCUUUGUCUAAUCAGUGAAACUGAUCUCCCCGUGAAAAAGCGGGGAUACACCUAUAAGACGAGAAGACCCCAUGGAGCUUUAAACCUACAGCAACUCAACCACAUAAUCCCACACAACCUUAGAGACAUGCCUGUUGGCUUUAGGUUGGGGUGACCGCGGAGUAAAAAUCAUCCUCCACAACACAAAGAUCUAAAUCUUUAUUCAAGAGCCACUACUCUAAAAAUUAGCAUACUAAUGUACACUGACCCGAUAAUCGACUAAUGAACCAAGUUACCCUGGGGAUAACAGCGCAAUCUAUUUCAAGAGUUCAUAUCGACAAAUAGGCUUACGACCUCGAUGUUGGAUCAGGGUACCCUAGUGGUGUAGCAGCUACUGAAGGUUCGUUUGUUCAACGAUUAAAACCCUACGUGAUCUGAGUCAAGACCGGA
rnacentral:rRNA from 1 species